ACUUUAAAAGAGAGUCAAGAAAUCACUAUUCCUAAAAGAACUUCCAAUCUUGGCCGUCCAUUUGACCCUCUCUCCAUGCGAUCUAUUUAAUCGUGGCCCUUCUUUUGUGAGACUUUUUUUCAUCUUUAUUCCACUCAAGCUGCUCUAAUUUUCUGACGUCACAUAACGUCGUGAUAGAGUAUGCGAUGAAGGAGAGCAGUGUCCAUGGCUUGAUUUCGUGGAUAUAUGUCACCCCUGCAGCCCUGUCCCUGUAGCGUGUUUAGUUGGAAGAGAGUCAAAUGGAUGGAAGAAGGAGACUGCUUGCGUUUUAGAAGUUUUGGAUGAGGCAAAGAGUGUGUCCAUAGUUUUUGGUGGUCAGCCAUCGUCAUUCUUGCAGUUGCAGACCCUGUGUCCUGCAGUAGUUGUUAGGGUUAGGUGUGUAGUUGUAGAAGAAAGGAUCGUUGUAAGUUUGGGGGAAAUUUUAGGUUUUCGUGUUGAACACGAUUUGGGGGAAAUUUCGUCACCCUGACCUAAGUCAGAUAGGUUGUAAUUUGAAGGAGGAGAAUACAACUGUUGAUGAAGGAUUUUGAAUUUUUGAUAUGUGCAGAAUGUGCUGUCUGAAGGAGGAGGAUAGAUGUGUAUCAGAAGCCAUGUCAGGUCAGUAACAGAGGUUUGGUAUGCAUAGUUGUGAAGCAGGUUUGCUGCUGAAACUCAAUUCAAUUUAAUUUUUAAAAUUCUCAAAUGUUUCUCACUUGCACUUGUCUAUAAAUACUGUUAUCUUCUGUUCUUCUUGGUGUUCUUGCUCAAAGCAAUUUUCUUUUGCUUAUCUCCCCUUUCGUAUAGAGAAUUGUUGAUUGCUGCUCCUUUCCAUCCCCUUUGUAGCUUAUGCCCAGGCAAAGAUGUUUCCUGUUGGUGAUCCUCGCAAACCAUAUGCUAUUAAUCUUGUCUUGAUCAAUUCACAUGUUAUUUCUUUUCUUGAUGAAGUGCUACGUGCUUGCUUCCAGAUUUCUGAUGGUCAUAAUUUGCCACACACACCAUUUUAAUUGGCUUCCAGCUUUCUCUGUCUUUGUGAAGAAGCUAUUAUGGAUAAGCUAGGAACUCAUUUAGGGAUUGGAUCAAUGUUUUUAAGGAGGUAGACUCUAGGAUGGUAAUGAACUAUCCCUAUCUUUAUCAAAUUCAGAAAUGGUGUAGCCUUGCCAUGGAGUUGAAUUAUAGACUUAUACAAAUUACAAAGAAAUAGUGGCACCCUUAAAAAUACACUUCAAAAGGUUACGUGUGAAGCUGUACUGGAGGAAGUUGAUAGGAUGCUCAGAGGUCUGAGGGAAAAGUUAUUGUCUAGGACAUUGUUGAGAUAAUCAACGAGCUCCAGAGCUUGAUGAAGUAUAUUCAGUGGGAGGUUCGUAUUAGGAUUGGAUGAAGUAAUAAUGGCAAGUGACAUUCUUACUUUCCCUUAAGUCUUGCUACCCUUUUACCAUUUGCUCUGUAUUUUAUUUUUACUGCAUUCACUAUAGGUUAUGUAUUUCACGGUGCUGGAAGUUACAACUUUGUACAUGUGAAUAUUUAUAAUUUA